rnacentral:rRNA from 1 species
UACGUAGGGUGCGAGCGUUAUCGGAAUUACUGGGCGUAAAGCGUGCGCAGGCGGUUUGCUAAGACCGAUGUGAAAUCCCCGGGCUUAACCUGGGAACUGCAUUGGUGACUGGCAGGCUAGAGUAUGGCAGAGGGGGGUAGAAUUCCACGUGUAGCAGUGAAAUGCGUAGAGAUGUGGAGGAAUACCGAUGGCGAAGGCAGCCCCCUGGGCCAAUACUGACGCUCAUGCACGAA